rnacentral:rRNA from 1 species
UACGUAGGGUGCAAGCGUUAAUCGGAAUUACUGGGCGUAAAGCGUGCGCAGGCGGCUUUGCAAGACAGAUGUGAAAUCCCCGGGCUCAACCUGGGAACUGCAUUUGUGACUGCAUGGCUAGAGUACGGUAGAGGGGGAUGGAAUUCCGCGUGUAGCAGUGAAAUGCGUAGAUAUCGGGAGGAACACCAGUGGCGAAGGCGGCCUUCUGGACCAGUACUGACGCUCAUGCACGAAAGCGUGGGGAGCAAACAGG